CACGUAGGGUGCAAGCGUUGUCCGGAAUUAUUGGGCGUAAAGGGCUCGUAGGCGGUCCGUCACGUCGGGAGUGAAAACUCGGGGCUCAACCCCGAGCCUGCUUUCGAUACGGGCGGACUAGAGGUAGGUAGGGGAGAACGGAAUUCCUGGUGUAGCGGUGGAAUGCGCAGAUAUCAGGAGGAACACCGGUGGCGAAGGCGGAUCUCUGGGCCUUGCCUGACGCUGAGGCGCGAAAGCUAGGGGAGCGAACAGG
rnacentral:rRNA from 1 species